rnacentral:rRNA from 1 species
UACGUAGGGUGCGAGCGUUGUCCGGAAUUACUGGGCGUAAAGAGCUCGUAGGUGGUUUGUCGCGUUGUUCGUGAAAACUCACAGCUUAACUGUGGGCGUGCGGGCGAUACGGGCAGACUGGAGUACUGCAGGGGAGACUGGAAUUCCAGGUGUAGCGGUGAAAUGCGUAGAUAUCUGGAGGAACACCGGUGGCGAAGGCGGCCCGCUGGGCAGGAAGACGUCGCGAGACGUCGGCUGACGCUGAGGCGCGACAGCGUGGGGAGCAAACAGG